GACGAACGCUGGCGGCGUGCUUAACACAUGCAAGUCGAACGGAAAGGCCCUGCUUUUGUGGGGUGCUCGAGUGGCGAACGGGUGAGUAACACGUGAGUAACCUGCCCUUGACUUUGGGAUAACUUCAGGAAACUGGGGCUAAUACCGGAUAGGAGCUCCUGCUGCAUGGUGGGGGUUGGAAAGUUUCGGCGGUUGGGGAUGGACUCGCGGCUUAUCAGCUUGUUGGUGGGGUAGUGGCUUACCAAGGCUUUGACGGGUAGCCGGCCUGAGAGGGUGACCGGCCACAUUGGGACUGAGAUACGGCCCAGACUCCUACGGGAGGCAGCAGUGGGGAAUAUUGCACAAUGGGCGGAAGCCUGAUGCAGCAACGCCGCGUGCGGGAUGACGGCCUUCGGGUUGUAAACCGCUUUCGCUUGUGACGAAGCGUGAGUGACGGUAAUGGGUAAAGAAGCACCGGCUAACUACGUGCCAGCAGCCGCGGUGAUACGUAGGGUGCGAGCGUUGUCCGGAUUUAUUGGGCGUAAAGGGCUCGUAGGUGGUUGAUCGCGUCGGAAGUGUAAUCUUGGGGCUUAACCCCUGAGCGUGCUUUCGAUACGGGUUGACUUGAGGAAGGUAGGGGAGAAUGGAAUUCCUGGUGGAGCGGUGGAAUGCGCAGAUAUCAGGAGGAACACCAGUGGCGAAGGCGGUUCUCUGGGCCUUUCCUGACGCUGAGGAGCGAAAGCGUGGGGAGCGAACAGGCUUAGAUACCCUGGUAGUCCACGCUGUAAACGGUGGGUACUAGGUGUGGGGUCCAUUCCACGGGUUCCGUGCCGUAGCUAACGCUUUAAGUACCCCGCCUGGGGAGUACGGCCGCAAGGCUAAAACUCAAAGGAAUUGACGGGGCCCCGCACAAGCGGCGGAGCAUGCGGAUUAAUUCGAUGCAACGCGUAGAACCUUACCUGGGUUUGACAUGGAUCGGGAGUGCUCAGAGAUGGGUGUGCCUCUUUUGGGGUCGGUUCACAGGUGGUGCAUGGCUGUCGUCAGCUCGUGUCGUGAGAUGUUGGGUUAAGUCCCGCAACGAGCGCAACCCUUGUUCACUGUUGCCAGCACGUUAUGGUGGGGACUCAGUGGAGACCGCCGGGGUCAACUCGGAGGAAGGUGGGGAUGACGUCAAGUCAUCAUGCCCCUUAUGUCCAGGGCUUCACGCAUGCUACAAUGGCUGGUACAGAGAGUGGCGAGCCUGUAAGGGUGAGCGAAUCUCGGAAAGCCGGUCUCAGUUCGGAUUGGGGUCUGCAACUCGACCUCAUGAAGUCGGAGUCGCUAGUAAUCGCAGAUCAGCAACGCUGCGGUGAAUACGUUCCCGGGGCU
rnacentral:rRNA from 1 species